rnacentral:rRNA from 1 species
UACGUAGGGGGCAAGCGUUGUCCGGAUUUAUUGGGCGUAAAGAGCGUGUAGGCGGCUUGGCAAGUCCGCUGUGAAAACUCGAGGCUUAACCUCGAGAGGUCGGUGGAAACUGCCUAGCUAGAGUCCGGAAGAGGAGAGUGGAAUUCCUGGUGUAGCGGUGAAAUGCGCAGAUAUCAGGAAGAACACCCGUGGCUAAGGCGGCUCUCUAGUACGGUACUGACGCUGAGACGCGAAAGCGUGGGGAGCGAACAGG